rnacentral:rRNA from 1 species
AUUGAACGCUGGCGGAAUGCUUUACACAUGCAAGUCGAUCGGCAGCACGGACUUCGGUCUGGUGGCGAGUGGCAAACGAGUGAGUAAUGUAUCGGAACGUGCCCAGUCGUGGGGGAUAACGUAGUGAAAAUUACGCUAAUACCGCAUACGAUCUAUGGAUGAAAGCGGGGGAUCGCAAGACCUCGCGCGAUUGGAGCGGCCGAUAUCAGAUUAGGUAGUUGGUGGGGUAAAGGCCCACCAAGCCAACGAUCUGUAGCUGGUCUGAGAGGACGACCAGCCACACUGGAACUGAGACACGGUCCAGACUCCUACGGGAGGCAGCAGUGGGGAAUUUUGGACAAUGGGCGAAAGCCUGAUCCAGCCAUUCCGCGUGCAGGAUGAAGGCCCUCGGGUUGUAAACUGCUUUUGUACAGAACGAAAAGGUUUCUACUAAUACUAGGAGCUCAUGACGGUACUGUAAGAAUAAGCACCGGCUAACUACGUGCCAGCAGCCGCGGUAA